rnacentral:rRNA from 1 species
AUUGAACGCUGGCGGAAUGCUUUACACAUGCAAGUCGAACGGUAGAGGGGGCAACCCCUUGAGAGUGGCGAACGGGUGAGUAAUAUAUCGGAACGUGCCCAGUCGUGGGGAUAACGUAGCGAAAGUUACGCUAAUACCGCAUACGAUCUAAGGAUGAAAGCGGGGGAUCGCAAGACCUCGCGCGAUUGGAGCGGCCGAUAUCAGAUUAGGUAGUUGGUGAGGUAAAGGCUCACCAAGCCAACGAUCUGUAGCUGGUCUGAGAGGACGACCAGCCACACUGGAACUGAGACACGGUCCAGACUCCUACGGGAGGCAGCAGUGGGGAAUUUUGGACAAUGGACGCAAGUCUGAUCCAGCCAUUCCGCGUGCAGGAUGAAGGCCCUCGGGUUGUAAACUGC